AUGUGUGUGGAAAUAUCUCCUCUUCGUUUCUUUAGGAGCAAAAAUAUAUCCAAAAUGUGCUGCAUUUAAAAAGGAGUUCUCAGGGGUAUCAACCUUAUAAUAGAGGUUGAGUAACAGUAUAUUUCUUCUACAUAA